rnacentral:tRNA from 1 species
GCCGAUAUAGCUCAGUUGGUAGAGCAACUGAUUUGUAAUCAGUAUGUCAAAGGUUCGAAUCCUUUUAUCGGCU